rnacentral:lncRNA from 1 species
AUCUGAGUUGUCUUGUCAUGCUGCUUUAGAUCCCAACUUUUAAAUGUAAUCAGAGGAGAUUAGCUUGACUUUAUGGUUAUAAUCUUGAGACCAAAGUUCAGAGAUCUGAAUGUAAAUCACCUCUGUCUUCUCUUUAGAAAAAGGUGCAUCAAUGAAGAUACAGCAUCAAGGGGAUGUUGGUUUUAUUUUUUGAAGUUGAUGGAAUCAUGCAAGCUGAGUUUUACCAAGGAACAGAAGGAAUCUUGGAGACGGGUAGAAUCAAUCAUAACUUCUCUAAGUUGAAACUGAAUUUUGCGCAUAGCAGGGAUUAACAUAUACAUUUUCUGUGCUCACUUCUAUGGAAGUAAAGAAAGAAGAAAAUCAUGGAGGCUAUGGAAUUCUGAGGAGAUAUUUCUUCUAAAAAAGUAGAUUCAAUUCUGUUUUUUCCUGGUAUGUGCUACUUGUAUUAAAAUUAUCUGUCAAAUAUUUUUCUUUGGAGGCAAUUUGUUUUUUUCUCCUCUGUAUAGCCUUCAAAAU